GUGAAGAAUUAACAUCCGUAUUUUCCUAAAAUAACACGGCGGUAAUUUAUGGUUAUUCAUUAUUUUAGGAUUAAGCUCAAUACAGCAAUAUGCGCAAUGACGUGGACAAGCGGAUUUAUCUUAUAAAAAAGCCGAUAUAAAUAUCGGCUUGUUUUAUGACU
rnacentral:sRNA from 1 species